UACGUAGGCAGCAAGCGUUGUUCGGAAUUACUGGGCGUAAAGAGUGUGUAGGCGGUGCUCUAAGUUCGGUGUGAAAUCUCCCGGCUCAACUGGGAGGGUGCGCCGGAAACCGGGGUGCUGGAGCGCGGGAGAGGAAAGCGGAAUUCCUGGUGUAGCGGUGAAAUGCGUAGAUAUCGGGAGGAACACCUGCGGUGUAGACGGCUUUCUGGACCAUUGCUGACGCUGAGGAGCGAAAGUGUGGGGAGCGAACAGG
rnacentral:rRNA from 1 species